ACGGGAGGCAGCAGUGGGGGAUAUUGCACAAUGGGGGAAACCCUGAUGCAGCGACGCCGCGUGAGUGAUGAAGUAUUUCGGUAUGUAAAGCUCUAUCAGCAGGGAAGAAAAUGACGGUACCUGACUAAGAAGCUCCGGCUAAAUACGUGCCAGCAGCCGCGGUAAUACGUAUGGAGCAAGCGUUAUCCGGAUUUACUGGGUGUAAAGGGAGCGUAGACGGUGACGCAAGUCUGAAGUGAAAGGUGUGGGCCCAACCCGCAAACUGCUUUGGAAACUGUGUGACUAGAGUGUCGGAGAGGUAAGUGGAAUUCCUAGUGUAGCGGUGAAAUGCGUAGAUAUUAGGAGGAACACCAGUGGCGAAGGCGGCUUACUGGACGAUAACUGACGUUGAGGCUCGAAAGCGUGGGGAGCAAACAGGAUUAGAUACCCUGGUA
rnacentral:rRNA from 1 species